CAGUCGCCACGGUAAGACAGAGGAUGCAAGCGUUAAUCGGAUUUACUGGGCGUAAAGCGUGCGUAGGCGGCUUCUUAAGUCGGAUGUGAAAUCCCUGAGCUUAACUUAGGAAUUGCAUUCGAUACUGGGAAGCUAGAGUAUGGGAGAGGAUGGUAGAAUUCCAGGUGUAGCGGUGAAAUGCGUAGAGAUCUGGAGGAAUACCGAUGGCGAAGGCAGCCAUCUGGCCUAAUACUGACGCUGAGGUACGAAAGCAUGGGGAGCAAACAGGAUUAGAUACCCCCGUAGUCCCUGUCUCUUAUAA
rnacentral:rRNA from 1 species